CACUAAGAAGCUAAACAGGCCCCAGCGUUAGCCUUUUAAGCUAAAGAAUGGUGGUUACCGCCCACCCUUAGUGA
rnacentral:tRNA from 1 species